rnacentral:rRNA from 1 species
UACGGGGGGGGCUAGCGUUGCUCGGAAUCACUGGGCGUAAAGCGCACGUAGGCGGAUUGUUAAGUCGGGGGGUGAAAUCCUGGAGCUCAACUCCAGAACUGCCUUCGAUACUGACGAUCUCGAGUCCGGGAGAGGUGAGUGGAACUCCGAGUGUAGAGGUGAAAUUCGUAGAUAUUCGGAAGAACACCAGUGGCGAAGGCGGCUCACUGGCCCGGUACUGACGCUGAGGUGCGAAAGCGUGGGGAGCAAACAGG